AGUCUACGAGUCCUGAUGUUUUUCCACACCUCUCAUGUUUGGAGGAUCAGGACUGUUAUGAAGGAGAAGUUCCAACCAGUCAAUCUACAGUGGACUCAGAAAGUAGUCAUUAUGAGUCAUAUGGUGAAGAGGAGGAGGAGUUUGUGAAGGACAGAGCUCAUUAUGUCCAUUGGAGGUUCUCUCAACCCACCAUAAGACCCGAUUCAGAGUCACGCAUCUGUGGAUAUCUCUGGAGGAAGAAAUGGUUGGGUCACUGGUCCCGUCAGCUCUUCAUUAUUAAGCAGAACUCACUACUGUGUUUUAAAUGUGCUAAAGAUCUGCACCCUCUGCUGGACCUAAACCUCAUUGGUUGCAACGUGGUCUACAAAUC